AGAAUUGGAGUGACUAACCGUCCUCCGACUUCCAACCCUCUGUUGUUAUAACUACCUUGUUGCUUUGGCGGGACCGUUCGGUCCUCCGAGCGCACCAGUCUUCGGACAGGUGAGCGCCCGCCAGAGUCCAACCAAACUCUUGUUUUUAACCAGUCGUCUGAGUAUAAAAUUUUAAUUAAAUUAAAACUUUCAACAACGGAUCUCUUGGUUCU
rnacentral:misc_RNA from 1 species